rnacentral:rRNA from 1 species
GGGGAAUAUUGCACAAUGGGGGAAACCCUGAUGCAGCGACGCCGCGUGGAGGAAGAAGGUCUUCGGAUUGUAAACUCCUGUUGUUGAGGAAGAUAAUGACGGUACUCAACAAGGAAGUGACGGCUAACUACGUGCCAGCAGCCGCGGUAAAACGUAGGUCACAAGCGUUGUCCGGAAUUACUGGGUGUAAAGGGAGCGCAGGCGGAAGGACAAGUUGGAAGUGAAACCCACGGGCUCAACUCGUGAACUGCUUUCAAAACUGUUUUUCUUGAGUGGUGUAGAGGUAGGCGGAAUUCCCGGUGUAGCGGUGGAAUGCGUAGAUAUCGGGAGGAACACCAGUGGCGAAGGCGGCCUACUGGGCACUAACUGACGCUGAGGCUCGAAAGCAUGGGUAGCAAACAGGAUUAGAUACCCUGGUAGUCCAUGCCGUAAACGAUGAUUACUAGGUGUGGGAGGAUUGACCCCUUCCGUGCCGCAGUUAACACAAUAAGUAAUCCACCUGGGGAGUACGACCGCAAGGUUGAAACUCAAAGGAAUUGACGGGGGCCCGCACAAGCAGUGGAGUAUGUGGUUUAAUUCGAAGCAACGCGAAGAACCUUACCAGGUCUUGACAUCGGAUGCAUAGCUAAGAGAUUAGCGAAGCCCUUCGGGGCAUCCAGACAGGUGGUGCAUGGUUGUCGUCAGCUCGUGUCGUGAGAUGUUGGGUUAAGUCCCGCAACGAGCGCAACCCUUACUGUUAGUUACUACGCAAGAGGACUCUAGCAGGACUGCCGUUGACAAAACGGAGGAAGGUGGGGAUGACGUCAAAUCAUCAUGCCCUUUAUGACCUGGGCUACACACGUACUACAAUGGCGUUAAACAAAGAGAAGCGAAGCCGCGAGGUGGAGCAAACCUCAAAAACAACGUCCCAGUUCAGACUGCAGGCUGCAACUCGCCUGCACGAAGUCGGAAUUGCUAGUAAUCGCGGAUCAGCAUGCCGCGGUGAAUACGUUCCCG